rnacentral:tRNA from 1 species
GCCUAGAUAGCUCAGUUGGUAGAGCAACGGACUGAAAAUCCGUGUGUCCUUGGUUCGAUUCCGAGUCUAGGCACCA